AUUGAACGCUGGCGGCAUGCCUAAUACAUGCAAGUCGAACGCGUGGCGGACGGGUGAGUAAUGUCUGGGAAACUGCUCGAUGGCGGGGGGUAAUUACUGGAAACGGUAGCUAAUACCGCAUACCAUCGGAUGUGCCCAGAUGGGAUUAGCUAGUAGGUGGGGUAACGGCUCACCUAGGCCACGAUCCCUAGCUGGCCUGAGAGGAUGACCAGCCACACUGGAACUGAGACACGGUCCAGACUCCUACGGGAGGCAGCAGUGGGGAAUAUUGCACAAUGGGCGCAAGCCUGAUGCAGCCAGGCCGCGUGUAUGAAGAAGGCCUUCGGGUUGUAAAGUACUUUCAGCGAGGAGGCGUUACUCACAGAGGAAGCACCGGCUAACUCCGUGCCAGCCGCCGCGGUAAUAC
rnacentral:rRNA from 1 species